rnacentral:misc_RNA from 1 species
GAAAAAACUCUUAAUUAAAUUUUCGAUCACGAAAACAAAUAAAUAAAUAUAUAAGGGUAAUUUGCUAAAAUCUCUCUUGAGGUUAGGUCAUAACCACUACUGCAUCCACGCUUUUAGAAUUUGUAAUGAUUAGUCCUCGAGUUUUUAACCAGUUAACUAACAAAACAUUCUAUCCAAAUUCUAAAAAUUGCUGUUAGUCAAAUUGGCAAUUAAAGUCAAAUCCUAAAAGUUUAUUAUAAUCCCUGAAGUCCCUUAACUAUACUUUUUCCCUGCUCCACUCAUCUCUCCCUCUCUCAGUUCUGCUACUGCCAUCAAUCCCACUCGCCUUCCUUUUGGAGACUCCACUUCUGUCUGUCUAAAUCAAAUUUGCACCAGAAAGGUCCCUUUGAAAUGAAGGAAAUGUGCUCUCUUUAAGCUUCCCUAAAACAAGAACUGACAGGAGACAACUUAGAGAUGUCCAAACAGAGAAUUAAUCUUGCUGUUCAGAAAUCCUAACCUAGAAAUUAGAGGGAGCUCGAAAUUGUAGGUUCCAUUUGGCAUUGUUGUUUGAGCUUCUAUUGAGAAAAGCAUUAUUCUAAAUAUAUUUAGUUAGAGACCACUAAAAAUUAAUUUUAAGUUAUAUUUGACAUUUUAUCAUAACAACUCCAAAACUGCCAAACAAUUUUGCCAAAUUUCUUUUUUCAACAUCAUCUAAUACAUUUAGGGCUCUUGUUGCCAUGGAAAGACCCAUACAAAAUCAAAUUGCAAUGAACCAA